GACGAACCGAGCGAACGUUGUUCGGAAUCACUGGGCUUAAAGGGCGCGUAGGCGGGUGCUCAAGUCCGGGGUGAAAUCCCACAGCUCAACUGUGGAAUUGCCUCGGAUACUGGGUGUCUCGAGGGUGGUAGGGGUAUGCGGAACUAUCGGUGGAGCGGUGAAAUGCGUUGAUAUCGAUAGGAACUCCGGUGGCGAAGGCGGCAUACUGGACCACUUCUGACGCUGAGGCGCGAAAGCCAGGGGAGCGAACAGG
rnacentral:rRNA from 1 species